UGGGGAAUCUUCCGCAAUGGGCGAAAGCCUGACGGAGCAACGCCGCGUGAUCGAAUGAAGGCCUUCGGGUUGUAAAGAUCUGUUGACAGGGACGAAUAAGCCAUGCGAAUAGUUUGGUGUAUGACGGUACCUGUUUAGAAAGCUCCGGCUAACUACGUGCCAGCAGCCGCGGUAAUACGUAGGGAGCAAGCGUUGUCCGGAAUUACUGGGCGUAAAGGGCGCGUAGGUGGGUGCUUAAGUCAGGUGUGAAAACUCUGGGCUCAACCUGGAGACUGCACUUGAAACUGGGUAUCUUGAGGGCAGGAGAGGAAAGUGGAAUUCCUAGUGUAGCGGUGAAAUGCGUAGAUAUUAGGAGGAACACCAGUGGCGAAGGCGACUUUCUGGACUGUACCUGACGCUGAGGCGCGAAAGCGUGGGUAGCGAACGGG
rnacentral:rRNA from 1 species